rnacentral:rRNA from 1 species
GACGAACGCUGGCGGCGUGCCUAAUACAUGCAAGUAGGACGCAGUUGCGAACGGGUGAGUAACGCGUAGGUAACUACCUAUUAGAGGGGGAUAAGUAUUGGAAACGAUAGCUAAUAACGCAUACUAGUAGAUGGAACUGCGUUGUAUUAGUUAGUAGGUAGGGUAAUGGCCUACCUAGGCAACGAUACAUAGCCGACCUGUGAGGGUUAUCUGCCACAAUGGGACUGAGACACGGCCCAGACUCCUACCGGCGGCAGCAGUAGGGAAUCGUCCGCAAUGGGGGGAACCCUGACCGAGCAACGCCGCGUGAGUGAUGAAGGUUUUCGGGUCGUAAAGCUCUGUUGUUAAGGAAGCGGUACCUAACCAGAAAGGGACGGCUAACUACGUGCCAGCAGCCGCGGUAAUUC